AGAGUUUGAUCCUGGCUCAGGACGAACGCUGGCGGCGUGCUUAACACAUGCAAGUCGAACGAGAAUCUACUGAAAGAGUUUUCGGACAAUGGAUGUAGAGGAAAGUGGCGGACGGGUGAGUAACGCGUGAGGAACCUGCCUUGAAGAGGGGGACAACAGUUGGAAACGACUGCUAAUACCGCAUGACGCAUAGAGGUCGCAUGAUCUUUAUGCCAAAGAUUUAUCGCUUCAAGAUGGCCUCGCGUCUGAUUAGCUGGUUGGCGGGGUAACGGCCCACCAAGGCGACGAUCAGUAGCCGGACUGAGAGGUUGAACGGCCACAUUGGGACUGAGAUACGGCCCAGACUCCUACGGGAGGCAGCAGUGGGGAAUAUUGGGCAAUGGGCGCAAGCCUGACCCAGCAACGCCGCGUGAAGGAAGAAGGCUUUCGGGUUGUAAACUUCUUUUAAGAGGGAAGAGCAGAAGACGGUACCUCUAGAAUAAGCCACGGCUAACUACGUGCCAGCAGCCGCGGUAAUACGUAGGUGGCAAGCGUUGUCCGGAUUUACUGGGUGUAAAGGGCGUGCAGCCGGGUCUGCAAGUCAGAUGUGAAAUCCAUGGGCUCAACCCAUGAACUGCAUUUGAAACUGUAGAUCUUGAGUGUCGGAGGGGCAAUCGGAAUUCCUAGUGUAGCGGUGAAAUGCGUAGAUAUUAGGAGGAACACCAGUGGCGAAGGCGGAUUGCUGGACGAUAACUGACGGUGAGGCGCGAAAGUGUGGGGAGCAAACAGGAUUAGAUACCCUGGUAGUCCACACUGUAAACGAUGAAUACUAGGUGUGCGGGGACUGACCCCCUGCGUGCCGCAGUAAACACAAUAAGUAUUCCACCUGGGGAGUACGAUCGCAAGGUUGAAACUCAAAGGAAUUGACGGGGGCCCGCACAAGCGGUGGAUUAUGUGGUUUAAUUCGAAGCAACGCGAAGAACCUUACCAGGGUUUGACAUCCUGCUAACGAAGUAGAGAUACAUUAGGUGCCCUUCGGGGAAAGCAGAGACAGGUGGUGCAUGGUUGUCGUCAGCUCGUGUCGUGAGAUGUUGGGUUAAGU
rnacentral:rRNA from 1 species